UACGGAGGGUGCAAGCGUUAUCCGGAUUCACUGGGUUUAAAGGGUGCGUAGGCGGGCAGGUAAGUCAGUGGUGAAAUCUCCGGGCUUAACCCGGAAACUGCCGUUGAUACUAUCUGUCUUGAAUAUCGUGGAGGUAAGCGGAAUAUGUCGUGUAGCGGUGAAAUGCUUAGAUAUGACAUAGAACACCCAUUGCGAAGGCAGCUUACUACACGAUCAUUGACGCUGAGGCACGAAAGCGUGGGGAGCAAACAGG
rnacentral:rRNA from 1 species